UAUUUCUGCAAGGAUGAUAAAUACAUAAUCCCAGCUCUAUGAGACCUUUUUUUGUAAAAGGUCUGGGAAUUGAAAUAUGUUCACAUUUAUCUGAGCUUAAUU